GAUCAUGGCUCAGAUUGAACGCUGGCGGCAUGCUUUACACAUGCAAGUCGAACGGUAACAGGUCUUCGGAUGCUGACGAGUGGCGAACGGGUGAGUAAUGUAUCGGAACGUGCCCAGUAGUGGGGGAUAACUACUCGAAAGAGUGGCUAAUACCGCAUGAGAACUGAGGUUGAAAGCGGGGGACCUUCGGGCCUCGCGCUACUGGAGCGGCCGAUAUCAGAUUAGGUAGUUGGUGGGGUAAAGGCCUACCAAGCCGACGAUCUGUAGCUGGUCUGAGAGGACGACCAGCCACACUGGGACUGAGACACGGCCCAGACUCCUACGGGAGGCAGCAGUGGGGAAUUUUGGACAAUGGACGCAAGUCUGAUCCAGCAAUGCCGCGUGCAGGACGAAGGCCUUCGGGUUGUAAACUGCUUUUGUACAGAACGAAAAGGCUCUGGUUAAUACCUGGGGCUCAUGACGGUACUGUAAGAAUAAGCACCGGCUAACUACGUG
rnacentral:rRNA from 1 species